AGUGAACGCUGGCGGCAGGCCUAACACAUGCAAGUCGAGCGGCAGCGCGGGGCAACCUGGCGGCGAGCGGCGGACGGGUGAGGAAUGCAUCGGAAUCUACCCUGUCGUGGGGGAUAACGUAGGGAAACUUACGCUAAUACCGCAUAAGACCGAGAGGUGAAAGUGGGGGAACUCAAGGCCUCACGAGAUGGGCUGAGCCGAUGCCGGAUUAGCUAGUUGGUGGGGUAAAGGCCCACCAAGCCAACGAUCUGUAGCGGGUCUGAGAGGACGACCAGCCACACUGGGACUGAGACACGGCCCAGACUCCUACGGGAGGCAGCAGUGGGGAAUUUUGGACAAUGGGCGCAAGCCUGAUCCAGCCAUGCCGCGUGCGGGAAGAAGGCCUUCGGGUUGUAAACCGCUUUUGUCAGGGAAGAAACGCUCUGGGCUAAUACCCUGGGGUAAUGACGGUACCUGAAGAAUAAGCACCGGCUAACUACGUGCCAGCCGCCGCAGUAAGAC
rnacentral:rRNA from 1 species